UACGUAGGGUGCGAGCGUUGUCCGGAAUUAUUGGGCGUAAAGAGCUCGUAGGCGGUUUGUUGCGUCGGCCGUGAAAACCUGCAGCUUAACUGUGGGCCUGCGGUCGAUACGGGCAGACUUGAGUUCGGUAGGGGAGACUGGAAUUCCUGGUGUAGCGGUGAAAUGCGCAGAUAUCGGGAGGAACACCUAUGGCGAAGGCAGCUCGCUGGGACGUUACUGACGCUGAGACGCGAAAGCGUGGGGAGCAAACAGG
rnacentral:rRNA from 1 species